rnacentral:tRNA from 4 species
GGCUAUGUAGCUCAGCUGGUUAGAGCACAGCACUCAUAAUGCUGGGGUCGGUGGUUCAAGUCCACCCAUAGCCACCA